UAAUAUCGCCUUCUUUUACCUUAUGGUUAAAGUUGGGCGGAUCUGGCUGUUCCAGCUAUGCAGUAUGUUUGCCUUCACCGGUAAACGUACAUCACGCACCUGGAUCAGCUGAAGACCAGAGGCUAACCAAGGACCCGUCAAGGGCCGCAACUGGGUGGGCUGUCAAAAGCUAUAUUCUUAGUUGUUGGUCUGGGACUUUGUGUUCGGCCCUCAAACAGGAACCUAUUAACCUAUUU
rnacentral:misc_RNA from 1 species